rnacentral:rRNA from 1 species
UACGUAGGGGGGCAAGCGUUGUCCGGAUUUAUUGGGCGUAAAGAGCGUGUAGGCGGCCAUGCAGGUCCGUUGUGAAAACUCGAGGCUCAACCUCGAGACGUCGAUGGAAACCGCAUGGCUAGAGUCCGGAAGAGGAGAGUGGAAUUCCUGGUGUAGCGGUGAAAUGCGCAGAUAUCAGGAAGAACACCCGUGGCGAAGGCGGCUCUCUGGGACGGUACUGACGCUGAGACGCGAAAAGCGUGGGGAGCGAACAGG